CCUACGGGUGGCAGCAGUGAGGAAUAUUGGUCAAUGGGCGCGAGCCUGAACCAGCCAAGUAGCGUGAAGGAUGACUGCCCUACGGGUUGUACACUACUGUUAUAAAGGCAUAAAGUGAGGCACGUGUGCCUUUUUGUAUGUACUUUAUGAAUAAGGCUCGGCUAAUUCCGCGCCAGCAGCCGCGGUAAUACGGAGGAUCCGAGCGUGAUCCGGAUUUUUUGGGUUUAAAGGUAACGUAGAUGGGUUGUUAAGUCAGUUGUGAAAGUUUGCGGCUCAACCGUAAAAUUGCAAUUGAUACUGGCAGCCGUGAGUACAGUUGAGGUAGGCGGAAUUCGUGGGGUAGCGGUUAAAUGCUUAGAUAUCACGAAGAACUCCGAUUGCGAAGGCAGCCUACUAAACUGCCACUGACAUUGAUGCUCGAAAGUGUGGGUAUCAAACAGGAUUAGAUACCCCUGUAGUC
rnacentral:rRNA from 1 species